rnacentral:sRNA from 1 species
AAACAGAAAUUGAAAAAAG